CAGUCGCCUCGGUAAUACGGAGGGUGCAAGCGUUAAUCGGAAUUACUGGGCGUAAAGCGCACGCAGGCGGUCUGACAAGUCAGAUGUGAAAUCCCCGGGCUUAACCUGGGAACUGCAUUUGAAACUGUCAGGCUGGAGUCUUGUAGAGGGGGGUGGAAUUCCAGGUGUAGCGGUGAAAUGCGUAGAGAUCUGGAGGAAUACCGGUGGCGAAGGCGGCCCCCUGGACAAAGACUGACGCUCAGGUGCGAAAGCGUGGGGAGCAAACAGGAUUAGAUACCCGCGUAGUCCCUGUCUCUUAUAC
rnacentral:rRNA from 1 species